rnacentral:rRNA from 1 species
AGUGAACGCUGGCGGUAGGCCUAACACAUGCAAGUCGAACGGCAGCACAGGAGAGCUUGCUCUCUGGGUGGCGAGUGGCGGACGGGUGAGGAAUACAUCGGAAUCUACCUUUUCGUGGGGGAUAACGUAGGGAAACUUACGCUAAUACCGCAUACGACCUUCGGGUGAAAGCAGGGGACCUUCGGGCCUUGCGCGGAUAGAUGAGCCGAUGUCUGAUUAGCUAGUUGGCGGGGUAAAGGCCCACCAAGGCGACGAUCCGUAGCUGGUCUGAGAGGAGGACCAGCCGCUCUGAGACUGACACCCGGUCCAGACUCCUACGGGGUGUAGCAGUGGGGAAUAUUGGACAAUGGGCGCAAGCCGGAUCCAGCCAUACCGCGUGGGUGAAGAAGGCCUUCGGGUUGUAAAGCCCUUUUGUUGGGAAAGAAAAGCAGCAGUUAAUACCUGGUUGUUCUGACGGUACCCAAAGAAUAAGCACCGGCUAACUUCGUGCCAGCCGCCGCCGUAACAC